rnacentral:rRNA from 1 species
UUUAACUGAGCGUUCAGUUACUUGACGUAGACCCGAAACCGGGCGACCUACCCAUGAGCAGGAUGAAGCGAAAGUAAAAUUUCGUGGAGGUCCGAACCCACGAGCGUUGAAAAGCUCGGGGAUGACUUGUGGGUAGCGGUGAAAUUCCAAUCGAGCCCGGAGAUAGCUGGUUCUCCCCGAAAUAGCUUUAGGGCUAGCCUCAAGGUGAGAGAUACGGAGGUAGAGCACUGAAUGUCCUAGGGGGUAUUGCACCUACCGAAGACUAUCAAACUCCGAAUGCCGUCAUCUUAUACUUGGGAGUCAGACUGUGGGUGAUAAGAUUCAUAGUCGAAAGGGCAACAGCCCAGAUCGUCAGCUAAGGUCCCUAAAUGUAAGUUAAGUGGUAAAGGAUGUGGGAUUGCACAGACAACCAGGAUGUUGGCUUAGAAGCAGCCACUCAUUCAAAGAGUGCGUAAUAGCUCACUGGUCGAGUGAUCCUGCGCCGAAGAUUUCCGGGGCUAAAACUUACUACCGAAGCUACGGCAUCAGUAAUGAUGGGUAGGGGAGCUUCCCAUACGGGUUGAAGCAUGACCGUAAGGACAUGUGGACAGUAUGGGAGUGAGAAUGUUGGCAUGAGUAGCGAGAUGUGGGUGAGAAUCCCACAGGCCGUAAACCCAA